UCCUACGGGAGGCAGCAGUGAGGAAUAUUGGUCAAUGGGCGGGAGCCUGAACCAGCCAAGUCGCGUGAGGGAAGACGGUCCUAUGGAUUGUAAACCUCUUUAGGCGGGGAGCAAUGCCGGGCACGCGUGUCCGGAGGGAGAGUACCCGCAGAAUAAGCAUCGGCUAACUCCGUGCCAGCAGCCGCGGUAAUACGGAGGAUGCGAGCGUUAUCCGGAUUUAUUGGGUUUAAAGGGUGCGUAGGCGGAAUGCCAAGUCAGCGGUAAAAUCGCGGGGCUCAACCUCGCUCCGCCGUUGAAACUGGCGU
rnacentral:rRNA from 1 species